rnacentral:lncRNA from 1 species
GUUGGAUUAACUGGAGGACCCGAUAUAGCUCUUCCCAUGACCUUAACUCACAAGACAAAUGGAGAGACACUUGGAUAUCAGCCCUGUCCACACACAAAGGACUUUCAGCAAAAUACUGAACAGAAGCAAUGAAGUUGGUGUCCUUGAUGAGUUAUAAGUAACGAAGAAAAUGUUUCUAAAUCUAUCAAGAUUACCAAGAUUAUAAUUUAUUAUCUUGUUAAGAGGUCAAUGUAGUAAAUCACACUAGCAUAUUUUCUUUGAAUUAAUGCAUGUUUAAAUUUGUUUUGGAAUAAACAUUA